GGUUAAGUGACUAAGCGUACACGGUGGAUGCCUAGGCAGUCAGAGGCGAUGAAGGGCGUGCUAAUCUGCGAAAAGCGUCGGUAAGGUGAUAUGAACCGUUAUAACCGGCGAUACCCGAAUGGGGAAACCCAGUGUGUUUCGACACACUAUCAUGUCAUGAAUACAUAGUGGCAUGAGGCGAACCGGGGGAACUGAAACAUCUAAGUACCCCGAGGAAAAGAAAUCAACCGAGAUUCCCCCAGUAGCGGCGAGCGAACGGGGAGGAGCCCAGAACCUGAAUCGGCUUGUGUGUUAGUGGAAGCGUCUGGAAAGUCGCGCAGCAAAGGGUGAUAGCCCCGUACACUAAAAUGCACAGGUCGUGAGUUCGAUGAGUAGGGCGGGACACGUGACAUCCUGUCUGAAUAUGGGGGGACCAUCCUCCAAGGCUAAAUACUCCUGACUGACCGAUAGUGAACCAGUA
rnacentral:rRNA from 1 species